CUUCUCGUGGGAAAGAAUUGGAAGCGCAUUAUUAACCUAGCUGGAUGGGCCGGGUUUCUCUUCACAAACUGUGAUCUAAAAAAUCCUCUUCCUCAUUCGUGAAAAACCAUUUUCUCUCUCUGUAACCACUAACGCCCUUAUAGGAUGGGGAGAAAUCUGCUUUCCUGUCCAGUCCAAGACGCCAUAUCUAACGCCAAAUAUAUCCUUCAUCUAGAUAAGUCGGGUUGUGUCUGGAUUCCAAGUUGUGAUCUUAAAUAGCCCAAUUUGACGAUGAACCCCUUGUGAAAUCUCUUUCGCUGUAGUACACAGACAUUCUGAGUAAACUGAGUUUUCAAAGAAGAAUAAAGUUUUUGGUUUUGCAAUGGUGGAGGAAAAUGCGAAGAAGGAGAGGAGGGUAGAGUCUUUGGGAUGGCUUACGGAAUCCUCUGUUAUGCCAAAGAAGCACAAAACAAUCGAAGGGGUGAGUGCGUCUUCAAUUGUAGAGCUCAGGGCACAGCUCUAUAGGACCCAAGAAGAGGCUAAGAAAGUCAAGGAUUUGGCUCCUGAUAUCGAGUUCCAUCGUGCAAAGAAGAAGGUCGUGCCUGUUGAUGUCCACUCUCGAAAGAAUGCAGGGGUUGAGAGCCGCGCUAACAAGUGGUUGCUUACCUUUGAGUUCUGGUAUCAAGAUGCCAUAAGGUUUAGGUUUUUACUACCCUCCUCACUGUGGCAACCCUUUGCAAUGCUCUACCAAAGAAGGGACAAGCUUGAGCUCAAAGCUGUGGAAGAUGGUUUGGUUAGCUAUGCAGCACUGGAGAAGAAGGCUGAAUUAUACGAAAAACUUGCUAGAGGGGAGCUUUCCGAUGAGGAAGACAUGGAGAAGUAUUGUGUUGACUUUUUCCGCAAGACUCUUGACACUGAGGAACAGUCCCAACUGUCUGAACCUGCAAAUGCUCCUUCUGUGGAGGAUGGCAACCUGGACGAUGAAGAUGAUCUGUCUGUCCCUGGUAUUGAUGCAAAGCUGUUCAGACCUGGCCGAACUGGGGAUGCGGUUGACAAUAAUGAGCACAAACGCUUUGUGAGGGAAGUUCAUGAGGAGACAAAUGAGGCGAGAGAGAAGGCUUCUAGUCUCAAGUUGCGCAGGCAAGUGCAGGCAGCUGCACACAGGGAGAAGUUACGGCAGGCCUAUUUGAGGAAACAGUUGGAGAAAUUGAAAGCUGCAAAAACUCAACAAUCAAGCCCUGGUGAUGCUGCAGCAAGCUAGAGAGAGAGAGAGAGAGAGAGAGAGAGAGAGGCUUCGUAGCUGUGAAUACACUCACAUUGUUGAUAUAAAAAGGAUUCCAAAUCAAGUUUUUGGGUUUUAGACGACAUCUGUGAGUUUUGGUAAAAAUUGUAUAAUGUGACCGUGGAAUGUGGAUUAGAUAUCAAAGUUUGAGCGGGCUUGAGACGAGUGAAUACAUUGGAGAAUUAAGGCAUGUAUGUAUGGUACAUGGCAUGAUGCAGGGUGUGUAGGUCAUUAUGUAUUGUUCAAUUCUGAUUAGGGCAAGUGGAUGAAUGCCGAUCACAGUGAGUUCCAGGUGAUGAUCACCGUUUCUCAAAAUGGAAAAUGUUGGACGAUUUUCUUGUAAGGUAUUCCGACAUGUAGCGGUUCAGGAAGGUUAGGACCAAGUUGUUUCAAGCCCAUGUAAACCAUUUGGAACUUGUUCAGAAAAUUGGUUGACGCUUAAGACCACAUAUUUAAUGAACUUCGUAUUUCACCACUAUAUGUUUUUACCAAGCAAGCUUUGAAAGGGAUUGUAUAGAAAGAGUACAUGAGGGCGCAAUCAUUAU